rnacentral:rRNA from 1 species
UGGAUAACCUACCUAUAAGACUGGGAUAACUUCGGGAAACCGGAGCUAAUACCGGAUAAUAUAUUGAACCGCAUGGUUCAAUAGUGAAAGACGGUUUUGCUGUCACUUAUAGAUGGAUCCGCGCCGCAUUAGCUAGUUGGUAAGGUAACGGCUUACCAAGGCAACGAUGCGUAGCCGACCUGAGAGGGUGAUCGGCCACACUGGAACUGAGACACGGUCCAG